GACGAACGCUGGCGGCGUGCUUAACACAUGCAAGUCGAACGAAGAGCGAUGGAAGCUUGCUUCUAUCAAUCUUAGUGGCGAACGGGUGAGUAACGCGUAAUCAACCUGCCCUUCAGAGGGGGACAGCAGUUGGAAACGACUGCUAAUACCGCAUACGAUCUAAUCUCGGCAUCGAGGAUAGAUGAAAGGUGGCCUCUACAUGUAAGCUAUCACUGAAGGAGGGGAUUGCGUCUGAUUAGCUAGUUGGAGGGGUAACGGCCCACCAAGGCGAUGAUCAGUAGCCGGUCUGAGAGGAUGAACGGCCACAUUGGGACUGAGACACGGCCCAGACUCCUACGGGAGGCAGCAGUGGGGAAUCUUCCGCAAUGGACGAAAGUCUGACGGAGCAACGCCGCGUGAGUGAUGACGGCCUUCGGGUUGUAAAGCUCUGUUAAUCGGGACGAAAGGCCUUCUUGCGAACAGUUAGAAGGAUUGACGGUACCGGAAUAGAAAGCCACGGCUAACUACGUG
rnacentral:rRNA from 1 species